rnacentral:rRNA from 1 species
AGUCGACGGUAACAGGUCUUCGGAUGCUGACGAGUGGCGAACGGGUGAGUAAUACAUCGGAACGUGCCCGAUCGUGGGGGAUAACGCAGCGAAAGCUGUGCUAAUACCGCAUACGAUCCACGGAUGAAAGCGGGGGACUCGCAAGGGCCUCGCGCGGACGGAGCGGCCGAUGGCAGAUUAGGUAGUUGGUGGGAUAAAAGCUUACCAAGCCGACGAUCUGUAGCUGGUCUGAGAGGACGACCAGCCACACUGGGACUGAGACACGGCCCAGACUCCUACGGGAGGCAGCAGUGGGGAAUUUUGGACAAUGGGCGCAAGCCUGAUCCAGCCAUGCCGCGUGCAGGAUGAAGGCCUUCGGGUUGUAAACUGCUUUUGUACGGAACGAAAAGACUCUGGUUAAUACCUGGGGUCCAUGACGGUACCGUAAGAAUAAGCACCGGCUAACUACGUGCCAGCAGCCGCGGUAAUACGUAGGGUGCAAGCGUUAAUCGGAAUUACUGGGCGUAAAGCGUGCGCAGGCGGUUAUAUAAGACAGAUGUGAAAUCCCCGGGCUCAACCUGGGAACUGCAUUUGUGACUGUAUAGCUAGAGUACGGCAGAGGGGGAUGGAAUUCCGCGUGUAGCAGUGAAAUGCGUAGAUAUGCGGAGG